rnacentral:tRNA from 1 species
UGCACAGUAGCUCAACCGGCAGAGCUCUCCGCUGUUAACGGAGUUGUUGUAGGUUCGAAUCCUACCUGUGCAG